AUGAACGCUGGCGGCGUGCCUAAUACAUGCAAGUCGAGCGAACGGACGAGAAGCUUGCUUCUCUGAUGUUAGCGGCGGACGGGUGAGUAACACGUGGAUAACCUACCUAUAAGACUGGGAUAACUUCGGGAAACCGGAGCUAAUACCGGAUGAUAUUUUGAACCGCAUGGUUCAAAAGUGAAAGACGGUCUUGCUGUCACUUAUAGAUGGAUCCGCGCUGCAUUAGCUAGUUGGUAAGGUAACGGCUUACCAAGGCAACGAUGCAUAGCCGACCUGAGAGGGUGAUCGGCCACACUGGAACUGAGACACGGUCCAGACUCCUACGGGAGGCAGCAGUAGGGAAUCUUCCGCAAUGGGCGAAAGCCUGACGGAGCAACGCCGCGUGAGUGAUGAAGGUCUUCGGAUCGUAAAACUCUGUUAUUAGGGAAGAACAUAUGUGUAAGUAACAGUGCACAUCUUGACGGUACCUAAUCAGAAAGCCACGGCUAACUACGUG
rnacentral:rRNA from 1 species